UACGGAGGGUGCAAGCGUUGUUCGGAUUUAUUGGGCGUAAAGAGCGUGUAGGCGGCCACACAGGUCUGCUGUGAAAACUCGAGGCUCAACCUCGAGCUGUCGGUGGAAACCGUGUGGCUAGAGUCCGGAAGAGGAGAGUGGAAUUCCCGGUGUAGCGGUGAAAUGCGCAGAUAUCGGGAGGAACACCGGUGGCGAAGGCGGUUCUCUGGGCCUUACCUGACGCUGAGGAGCGAAAGCGUGGGGAGCGAACAGG
rnacentral:rRNA from 1 species